AGCUUAUAACCAAGCUCAAUUAUUUGAUGGGCCACCAGAUGUUGCAUGUACAAGCCAAACAUGGUACAUUUCAGGCUUUCCUUUUUUGUGUAUGUUUCCUACAUAUAUUCACUCAAAACGAAGAUACUAGUGGUGUCUGGUCUAUGAUCGAGCAUAAUACUCAAAACGAAGAUACUAGUGGUGUCUGGUCUAUGAUCGAGCAUAAUACUCAAAACGAAGAUAGUAGUGGUGUCUGGUCUAUGAUCGAGCAUAAUACACGUUUAGUUGAAUCUUACUCUUUCAGUGUUGCAUUACACCCAGUUGUAAUAAUUGAAUAAAUUUAUAUGUAGUUUAUAUUCAUCUUCAGUAAACUUUUAGAGGUUUGGGAUGUGACUUUGAUAUGUGAAU
rnacentral:lncRNA from 1 species